GUUAUGAAGGUAACAGACUGCAUCUCGUCUCUGACGACCUAAAAGAGCUGUUUGAGCGUGGCCUCCAGUUUCCAGGAACCAAACAAUACUACCGUGGUCAGAGAUUUGAAGUCCUGACUGAUGAUGAAUGGAACAGAGUGAAGAAAACUGAAAAAGUCAAAGAGAGGAACAAAAAACAUCAGGAAAUGCUGGAUGGCAUGGCAGAAUCCAUUUUGAAGAACCUGGACAUCAUUAAGCAGAGACAGAAAACUGAGUUGUGGAGCAAUACUGAAGUGUGCAGUCAGUGGAAGAAUACUGCAAAGGUAACCUUGAAAAAAGAAGACAUGGAGGGAAAGAUGAAUUUAUACAAGCACAAACUACUCCCUACACACCAGGGAAAUUGUGAACCAACUA